rnacentral:rRNA from 1 species
AGAUGGCGACCGGCGCACGGGUGAGUAACACGUAUCCAACCUGCCGCUUACUCGGGGAUAGCCUUUCGAAAGAAAGAUUAAUACCCGAUGGUAUAAAGAGUUCGCAUUGUUCUCUUUAUUAAAGAAUUCGGUAAGCGAUGGGGAUGCGUUCCAUUAGAUAGUUGGCGGGUAACGGCCCACCAAGUCUACGAUGGAUAGGGGUUCUGAGAGGAAGGUCCCCCACAUUGGAACUGAGACACGGUCCAAACUCCUACGGGAGGCAGCAGUGUGGAAUAUUGGUCAAUGGACGAGAGUCUGAACCAGACCCAAGUAGCGUGAAGGAUGACUGCCCUAUGGGUUGUAAACUUCUUUUAUAAGGGAAUAAAGUGAGGGACGUGUCCCUUUUUGUAUGUACCUUAUGAAUAAGGAUCGGCUAACUCCGUGCCAGCCGCCGC